GACGAACGCUGGCGGCGUGCUUAACACAUGCAAGUCGAACGGAAAGGCCCUGCUUUUGUGGGGUGCUCGAGUGGCGAACGGGUGAGUAACACGUGAGUAACCUGCCCUUGACUUUGGGAUAACUUCAGGAAACUGGGGCUAAUACCGGAUAGGAGCUCCUGCUGCAUGGUGGGGGUUGGAAAGUUUCGGCGGUUGGGGAUGGACUCGCGGCUUAUCAGCUUGUUGGUGGGGUAGUGGCUUACCAAGGCUUUGACGGGUAGCCGGCCUGAGAGGGUGACCGGCCACAUGGGUACUAAGAUACGGCGCAGACUGCUACGGGAGGCAGCAGUGGGGAAUAUUACACAAUGGGCGGAAGCCUGAUGCGGCAACGCCGGGUGCGGGAUGACGGCCUUCGGGUUGUAAACCGCUUUCGCCUGUGACGAAGCGUGAGUGACGGUAAUGGGUAAAGAAGCACCGGCUAACUACGUG
rnacentral:rRNA from 1 species